GGGUGACGAGCGGCGGACGGGUGAGUAAUGUCUGGGAAACUGCCUGAUGGAGGGGGAUAACUACUGGAAACGGUAGCUAAUACCGCAUAACGUCGCAAGACCAAAGAGGGGGACCUUCGGGCCUCUUGCCAUCAGAUGUGCCCAGAUGGGAUUAGCUAGUAGGUGGGGUAACGGCUCACCUAGGCGACGAUCCCUAGCUGGUCUGAGAGGAUGACCAGCCACACUGGAACUGAGACACGGUCCAGACUCCUACGGGAGGCAGCAGUGGGGAAUAUUGCACAAUGGGCGCAAGCCUGAUGCAGCCAUGCCGCGUGUAUGAAGAAGGCCUUCGGGUUGUAAAGUACUUUCAGCGAGGAGGAAGGCAUUGAGGUUAAUAACCUCAGUGAUUGACGUUACUCGCAGAAGA
rnacentral:rRNA from 1 species